UUUACACUUUACAGGCUCAGUGCUGUAGAGUUCUGCUGCUGCGGUAUGUCGCAAACUCCUGUUUCGGGCACUUCGUCGAGUAUGUCUACUGACCGUGUUGAAGACCGGGAAGUAGAUGUGUUCGAGAGGUUAAUGCGUUCAUCGCUGAAAGAUGUAUGUAUUGACAGAGAAGGCGACAUCCAUGGAUUUUGCGAGACAGAAGAGGAUGUUGUUCAUCUUCUGAGCAACUUGCGCGUCCAUGGCUACGCAUACUCGGUUAGAAGAAGUGCGUAUUAUCGCCAGCCCCCUUCAGGUGCUGCUAAAUACGAGACAGGCUUCUUCUACAGCCACACAAAAGGCAACAUACCAAUACAGUUUUUUGGCCCUGUUUUCUGUGUUGAAAGCUUAGUGAAGAGAAUGUACUCUUGGCCCGUUAUAUCAUAAAAAGGAGAGUCCUGUUGCAGAUCAUCUGGUGGACCAUGUUAACCCAAAGAAGAAGAGAAAAGUUCUCAUGGACACACAAAAGAAAGGCUGUCCAGCAACAUUGGAUGUUAAGUGUGUCAGGGUAUUCCCCGAUUAUGCGAUAAACUCGGCAACAGACAGUUAAAAAGAAAGUGUACUGUGUUCUUGUGCCACAUUUAAAAGCAGCAUUCAGAUCAGCUUUUUUGGUUCUUUUGUAUUGCAUGGGAGCAAUGGGCAAGCCACAAGCAAAAUUUACAAAAGAGUUGCAGUUGCAGAUCACUUUGGCAACAUCAAGGUGACACAGUUGUCUUCUCCCAGCAGCGAGAGGCAAUGUUGUGAUCAUUCCUCUGAACCACCUCCUCUCGUAGAAAGUGUAAUUGACACACAAUGCUUACCCAGGUGUGGUAGUCCCUACCGUUAAAAAUAAGGUUGCUGUGGCACAUUACCAGGUUGUGUAUCAUCAAGGUUCGUAAUGUGAUAACAUUUAUUUACAUGAAUUCUUAUUACAAGGCAAUUUCUUUAAAUUAAUUUUGCUUUCUGCACUUAGUCAAGACCGUAUCAGUUUAAGGGAAAAUAUAAUGAACACAAAUGAGUGAGUGCUCAGCUACAGUUUCAGACAAAUGGCUGAAUUUUCCAGGUUUUCUGUACAGUGAACAAAUUACCACAUGGAGACAGAAGUUUCUGCAGAAGUGGCCUUGGUGUUCAAGUAAGACAAAGGCAAAUUUCAGAUUUUUUUUUUAAUCAUGAUGCUAUUACAUCAUCCUCAGGAUAAGAUGUAGCUAGUGCACACAUUCUCAAAGUCUGUUAAUGUUUAUAGUGCUGUAGGUCAGGUUUAUAACCAGCCUAGCUAACUGCCUUUCAUCUUGUUCCUCUGAUGAAGUUGAGCACAAUUUCUUCCCACAGCUUCAGAAUUUGCUCACUAUCUCCCGGUUCUAAAUUGUUCUUUUUGCUAAGCCACCAUUGCCAGGCUUGCUUUCGAUGAAAUAAACAAAGAUAAACCCUUGACAUUGGAUAUGUUCCUUCAAUUGCCCAUAUCUCAGGCUCAGAGAAAUCUGUAACCCAUGAAACUGGAUUCCAAUCUGGGUUCCGUGCCUUGAAAAUUUCUAGAGCCUCUUUAAUUGAUGCAGUGUUUUCUACUUGAAUGAAGAAUAUCCCAACUACUAAAUAGCAUACAUUAGCUCUCACUAACAAGAAAAAUAAUGGAAAGUCAUACUUCGUUGUCUUGUAUGUUGCAUCAAGCAAACGUACCCUAAACCCUACCAUACCUUUUCAAAAGUUCCCUUUGCCACUUGUGCUGGUAACAAAAAAGCAAUGGCUGCACUUUUUCAUUGUCAUCUGUAAACGGUCUGAAAAAAAUCUCUCAGCCUUAGAUUCCUUUUCCCACCCAUUAAUUUGAUUCCAUAAUGCAUCUUGGUCAAUAAUAGUUUUCUUCAAAUCAAACAGAGAUCGAUACAUAUGGCUAUAAAUUGUACUAUCUGUUAGGUAAAACAUUAUGUUCAUCCAAUCUGGUCUGUUCCAGCAACACUAAAGUGCACAAACCCCAAAGUGUUAACGAACAAACUUCAGUUAAGUUUUAUUUGCAGCAAGUGUGUUUCUGUAUUGCAUCCUGGUCACUAACUGAUUUCCUUACAACAAAUAAGCUCUGAGCACAUGGGUGUAAGUUGUUUAAUCUGUGUGGUAAAACAAUAUUUUAGAAAAGGUUUUUCAUUUAUAAAACAGUAUCAACUCAAAAAAACUUAUGUACAUUGCUCAUAAUUUGUUGUGUAGUCAAAAUACACAUGUUGGAAUGAAUAAAUUCAAUUAUGUAAUUAUCAUUUCCUUUGGCAAUGAAUCAUAUGAGCUAAACAUGACAUUA